rnacentral:lncRNA from 1 species
UAGAGCUUACAGAAGCCUGGGCCAUAGAGCCGGCCUUAGGUUUUUUCCAACCUUUGGCCCACGUAAUCGCGCCUAACAGAUGGAUUACAUACCUUCUAAGCUUUGUCACCUACCUGCUGAAUGCAAGAUAACCGCAAACCUAUAAACCAUUUCAAGCCAAACAGCAGCGAUCACUAUCACCAUAGCGUGAAACACAUGCAUGUGCGCACUUCGCCAUUCAUUCAAGCACGCUUAGGUAUUGCCCUUGGGCCUUCGUUUUACAGGUAUGGGGUCACGCACCCCCAACCAUGUAACACACACACACACACACACACACACACACACACACACACACACACACACACACACAUACACACACAUGUAUACACACACACACACACACACACACACACACACACACACACACACACACACACACACACAUCCAAGCACGCACCACCAAGCACAGAGCGCAUGAACGCCUACUACUACGAGGUGCUAAUCCCGUAAUGCGCGCAUGUACGUGACAUGCGUUCCACAGUCCAACUGCGGUACCAGCCAGCAUCAUUUUUUCAUCACCCAGCAGAACAAUCACCCCAACAAUCCACAGCCUAUCCGCUGCCGCAAACACGUAAUGCAAGCACACGGAGUGCAAGCAAUGCACUGAAGAACGCGAGACAGCGAGAUAGCUAAUGAUAUCGCGGUAAAUCGCGGGUCCUACACGACUUUUCACCCCUCGACAGGACAGCAGCUACGUAAGCACGAGGGAAUUUCCCCCGAGACCUAGGAGGGCGAGAAGGUAUCAAUCACGCACAAUCACGCACACUCGUAACGGGCCAGAAUCGCAGGCCCCGCCCUAAGGUGCUAGACAGUACUUAAGGUAAACCGCGUCAGUAAUAAAUUUCGAUACCCUACAGGUGACGCUUUCGUAAAUAGGUAGGGACCGUCCCUACCUAUUAGUAAUCGAGAGCGUCGCAUACAGGUGUUUGAAACUUUUGCUGACGCGGGUUGCAAAUGCCUGGUCUUCUUAAAUGUAGAAUCCAGGCACUUACAUUUGUCUCUCUCUAGGUAGAUAGCUUCCAAAAAUUGAGUUCACGGAGCGGUUAACGGGGUUAGCUUGUGAGGUUUGACCCUGUAGGGUCCAAAAUAAGCUACCUCCACGCCAGCUCAGGACACACACGUACUGCAGACGCUCCGCCGCUAGGCCCCCAAAGCCCUUGCAUCUCCUGUUCUAACCUUGCAGUCGUCUCAUUCCAACGGUUAUUGUUCGAACAGAAUAUUGAUGCCAGCAGUGCGUCCUGCACCCCACCCCCACAUAUGUACGUGGCCGCCUAGUCCUCGGGAUUCGGACUCGGUGACAAGUCCUAAGAGGCGCCUUUACUAGCAAGACCGCUAUGGGCGGCCGCUGCGGCAUGCUGGGUACACUGGAGGCGGUGUAUUACCCAGGGCGGGAUAUUCUUUGUACGGCCCCUGUUUCCCUAAUAUGCGCCACUGGACGCCCGAAGUCGGAGCAGGCGGCGGGAGGCCUGGGGCGGCAUGGAACGGGGUUAUGUCCGUUGGUCAGAUACUGUUGGGUGAGCCUGUAUUCAAUAUACUGGUGAUGGGAAAUGGCUUAAAGAAUA